rnacentral:rRNA from 1 species
AUUGAACGCUGGCGGCAGGCUUAACACAUGCAAGUCGAACGGUAACAUAAAGAAGCUUGCUUCUUUGAUGACGAGUGGCGGACGGGUGAGUAAUGCUUGGGAAUCUAGCUUAUGGAGGGGGAUAACUACGGGAAACUGUAGCUAAUACCGCGUAAUAUCGAAAGAUUAAAGUGUGGGACCUUCGGGCCACAUGCCAUAGGAUGAGCCCAAGUGGGAUUAGGUAGUUGGUGAGGUAAAGGCUCACCAAGCCGACGAUCUCUAGCUGGUCUGAGAGGAUGACCAGCCACACUGGGACUGAGACACGGCCCAGACUCCUACGGGAGGCAGCAGUGGGGAAUAUUGCGCAAUGGGGGCAACCCUGACGCAGCCAUGCCGCGUGAAUGAAGAAGGCCUUCGGGUUGUAAAGUUCUUUCGGUAGCGAGGAAGGCAUUUAGUUUAAUAGACUAAGUGAUUGACGUAACUACAGAA